UCCAUGGAACACUAUAAAAAUGCUUUCAUCAUUUUGCUUCCUAGAGAUAUAGGCCAUAUAUCGACUGCGGAGCUGAGGUUAUCCAUUCUCAGUUCACAAAAGUUAUAAGCCUCAGCUGUUCGCUUCCUGAUACUGUCUAACAACUCCCUUCUCCUGCUGAGGGAGAAAAAAAUACUCUUUUAUUCAUUCUGCACAACUGUAGCUUCAGAACUCCACAUGCAAAAUCAAACUUGGAGGCUACCUGAGGACUUUGAAUGCAAGCACAACAGAAGCAUCAGGGCUUAGCAUGUGGACUAACUGUUGAACAAGUAUACAAGCAAGUCACGUUGCUAGUCAGGAAGGAGGGAAUUUUUCAUCCUAGAACAUAUCAAAGACAUAAGAAAAGCCCUGCUGGAUCAGGCCAAAGGACCAUCUUCUUCAGCCUUUUGUUCUUACAGUGGCCAACCAGAUGGCCAUGGGAAGCUCGCAAGUAGGACCUGAGAACAAUAGCACUCUCCUCACUCGUGAUUCCCAACACAGGUUCUGGUUAACCAGCUCCACUCUGCUGAAAAUCACUCUGCCUGAGAUCACUUGGUGAAUCACAUAGCCUGCCAGAACCCAGGGGUCUGACUCCCCUGCUUUUUCUUCACUCUUUCGACCCCUGCCUGCUGAAACAGCUACUUCAAAGGCCCUUUUCAGGGCUCCACUACUUUUCUUGCUUUCCCCCUUAGAUCUUUGUGAGCUGAAGCAAAGAUCCAAGAAACUAUUUUCAGGGCUGUCUGCUGCCUUUGCUGUUUUCCUGCCUGACCCAAGACUGUCAACGCACCCCAGUUCUACUUCAUAAAGGAUUGCCCAUCAGGGCUGGGAAAAGUAUAUCUUGCUCUCUAUCCUGUCUUCUGGGAAUCCUUUCCCUACAAAUUGUAGCUUCCACAUCUGCUCCCAUGUAACGAAAUCACUUGUUGGGAACUGUUAUUAAAUGUGUUAUGGGUUUGAAGGAGUGAAUGGAAUGCCUGGGAAUAUGAGUGAUGUAAGACUGCCAGGUGGGAGGGUGUGUGUGAGUGAGAGGUCUAAGGGAAGUUUGAAUAAAAGACAGUUGGUUUUGACAGUUAGGAGUUUUGGUUGUUGGGAUUUGGAGUGGAAGGUGCACAGCAAAGUGUCGGGCCAAUCACUGUCUCUACCUGACCCUAUAGCAAAAUAUUUCCAUUAGCCACACCUGGAGUGGCAACGGGUUGAUCUGCUGAUCAGUUGUGGAGACUCUUUGAAGCUGAAGUUAAAAAAGAGAACGUGGCUAAGACCUGACAGAGACAAAGCUAGGGAUCACUGGAAGCAAAGUCGACUUAUUCUGGUUUUCUCCCCAACCUCCUCCCUUGAGGAAAUUUAGCAAUUCUCAGACACACGCAUUGGAAAUUUAAGAUGCAGCCACUGAAGAAAAAAGUUGAACAUCUAUAAAUUUAAAUUUUCUGUGAGUCAACAUCAAAUACCUAGAUAUAUCUGUGAUUUUUUUUCCAGUUCUGCUUAUAGAGAGGGAGAGAAAAGACUCCAGGCAGUCUCUCUAUGAUAGGAAAUGGCUCUGGGGGACCCAAGACUGCUAGGAUAUAGCUUUGAUUUGGGGAUGUAGAAAAAAUAAUGGUAGGGCUCUACCCCACCUUGUCCAAGUGACCAGCCUUCCUUUUCCCCAGUGCAGAACAGUAUCACCAGUGUCAACCUAGUAUUGAACUAAGUCAUAUAUAUAAAUAACGUAUACAUUUAUAUAUAUGUUUACCCUAUUCACAUGCUGUAGGUUCAACAUCAACUCAACAGAUUUUUAUUUAUUUAUUUAUUUAAUUACAUUUAUAUAC